ACGGGAGGCAGCAGUAGGGACUAUUGCACAAUGGGGGAAACCCUGAUGCAGCGACGCCGCGUGAGUGAUGAAGUAUUUCGGUACGUAAAGCUCUAUCAGCAGGGAAGAUAAUGACGGUAACUGACUAAGAAGCCCCGGCUAACUACGUGACAGCAGCCGCGGUAAUACGUAGGGGGAAAGCGUUAUCCGGAUUUACUGGGUGUAAAGGGAGUGUAGGUGGUCAGGCAAGUCAGAUGUGAAAGCCCGCGGCUCAGCCGCGGGACUGCAUUUGAAACUGUCUGACUGGAGUGCAGGAGAGGAAAGUGGAAUUCCUAGUGUAGCGGUGAAAUGCGUAGAUAUUAGGAGGAACACCAGUGGCGAAGGCGGCUUUCUGGACUGUAACUGACACUGAGGCUCGAAAGCGUGGGGAGCAAACAGGAUUAGAUACCCUGGUA
rnacentral:rRNA from 1 species